UUGUUGUAGCAGGGACAGAACUGCUUGUUCCCAUACGUUCCGGGGGGCACACAGAGGCACUUUGCGCAGCACUUCUGGCAGAAGAACAAGCAUGGCUUCUUGUAUGCUGUCGAGGAACACCUCCCCACACAUCUCCCUGAGCACUCCUGUGGGUGAAGGCUUCCUUCAGUGACUCCAUGCGUUGGGUUACUCACUGGAUGAGCUGUUGGAGCGGGAGAAUUCCCAGGUUGUGCUGUGGGUGCCGGCCCAUGGGAAUGCUUUGCCCGAUCGGAUAGAAUAAGGACGGUGAGCAAACACAGAGUUAGUAUGCUCAAUCUGCUUGCCAUUGUUGAGCAGCUGGAUAAG
rnacentral:misc_RNA from 1 species